GAGUUUGAUCCUGGCUCAGAGUGAACGCUGGCGGCGUGCCUAAUACAUGCAAGUCGAACGAUGAAGCUUCUAGCUUGCUAGAAGUGGAUUAGUGGCGCACGGGUGAGUAACGCAUAGGUCAUGUGCCUCUUAGUUUGGGAUAGCCAUUGGAAACGAUGAUUAAUACCAGAUACUCCCUACGGGGGAAAGAUUUAUCGCUAAGAGAUCAGCCUAUGUCCUAUCAGCUUGUUGGUAAGGUAAUGGCUUACCAAGGCUAUGACGGGUAUCCGGCCUGAGAGGGUGAACGGACACACUGGAACUGAGACACGGUCCAGACUCCUACGGGAGGCAGCAGUAGGGAAUAUUGCUCAAUGGGGGAAACCCUGAAGCAGCAACGCCGCGUGGAGGAUGAAGGUUUUAGGAUUGUAAACUCCUUUUGUUAGAGAAGAUAAUGACGGUAUCUAACGAAUAAGCACCGGCUAACUCCGUGCCAGCAGCCGCGGUAAUACGGAGGGUGCAAGCGUUACUCGGAAUCACUGGGCGUAAAGAGCGCGUAGGCGGGAUAGUCAGUCAGGUGUGAAAUCCUAUGGCUUAACCAUAGAACUGCAUUUGAAACUACUAUUCUAGAGUGUGGGAGAGGUAGGUGGAAUUCUUGGUGUAGGGGUAAAAUCCGUAGAGAUCAAGAGGAAUACUCAUUGCGAAGGCGACCUGCUGGAACAUUACUGACGCUGAUUGCGCGAAAGCGUGGGGAGCAAACAGGAUUAGAUACCCUGGUAGUCCACGCCCUAAACGAUGGAUGCUAGUUGUUGGAGGGCUUAGUCUCUCCAGUAAUGCAGCUAACGCAUUAAGCAUCCCGCCUGGGGAGUACGGUCGCAAGAUUAAAACUCAAAGGAAUAGACGGGGACCCGCACAAGCGGUGGAGCAUGUGGUUUAAUUCGAAGAUACACGAAGAACCUUACCUAGGCUUGACAUUGAGAGAAUCCGCUAGAAAUAGUGGAGUGUCUAGCUUGCUAGACCUUGAAAACAGGUGCUGCACGGCUGUCGUCAGCUCGUGUCGUGAGAUGUUGGGUUAAGUCCCGCAACGAGCGCAACCCCCUUUCUUAGUUGCUAACAGGUCAUGCUGAGAACUCUAAGGAUACUGCCUCCGUAAGGAGGAGGAAGGUGGGGACGACGUCAAGUCAUCAUGGCCCUUACGCCUAGGGCUACACACGUGCUACAAUGGGGUGCACAAAGAGAAGCAAUACUGCGAAGUGGAGCCAAUCUUCAAAACGCCUCUCAGUUCGGAUUGUAGGCUGCAACUCGCCUGCAUGAAGCUGGAAUCGCUAGUAAUCGCAAAUCAGCCAUGUUGCGGUGAAUACGUUCCCGGGUCUUGUACUCACCGCCCGUCACACCAUGGGAGUUGUGUUUGCCUUAAGUCAGGAUGCUAAACUAGCUACUGCCCACGGCACACACAGCGACUGGGGUGAAGUCGUAACAAGGUAACCGUAGGUGAACCUGCGGUUGGAUCACC
rnacentral:rRNA from 2 species